rnacentral:rRNA from 1 species
UACGUAGGGGGCUAGCGUUGUUCGGAAUUACUGGGCGUAAAGCGCGCGCAGGCGGUCUUCCAAGUCAGUGGUGAAAGCCCGGAGCUCAACUCCGGAACUGCCAUUGAAACUGUGAGACUUGAGGAUGAGAGAGGUGAGUGGAAUUCCCAGUGUAGCGGUGAAAUGCGUAGAUAUCGGGAGGAACACCUGUGGCGAAAGCGGCUCACUGGACCGCAACUGACGCUGAGGCGCGAAAGCUAGGGGAGCAAACAGG